rnacentral:rRNA from 1 species
CUACGUGCCAGCAGCCGCGGUCAUACGUAGGGUGCAAGCAUUAUCCGGAGUGACUGGGCGUAAAGAGUUGCGUAGGCGGUUUAGCAAGUGAAUAGUGAAAGCUGGUGGCUCAACCAUACAGACUAUUAUUCAAACUGUUAAACUCGAGAGUGGUAGAGGUAACUGGAAUUUCUUGUGUAGGAGUGAAAUCCGUAGAUAUAAGAAGGAACACCAAUGGCGUAGGCAGGUUACUGGACCAUUUCUGACGCUAAGGCACGAAAGCGUGGGGAGCGAACGGGAUUAGAUACCCCGGUAGUCCACGCCGUAAACGAUGGAUACUAGCUGUUGGAGGUAUCGACCCCUUCAGUAGCGAAGCUAACGCGUUAAGUAUCCCGCCUGUGGAGUACGGCCGCAAGGCUAAAACAUAAAGGAAUUGACGGGGACCCGCACAAGCGGUGGAUUAUGUUCUUUAAUUCGAUGAUAACCGAAGAACCUUACCAGGGCUKACAUCCAG